UCACAUGAAAAGUAGCAGCCAGGUCUUGCUGCGUGUUGCCAGAUUGUGUGGGAUCCUGUUCUAGCCGUACUGCGCAUGCACGUGGGAAGCCUGGGGUAGGCCCUGCUGUUUUUCUAACUCUAGUUCAAUCCUACACUGCCGUCUCAACCAAAACAAGGCGUAAGAAAAUCCCCCUCCUGGACGCCAAAUAAUCGAGGGUUUCCAUCACCAUUGGGUUUGAGUUUUUUUGUUUGGAAGUAAAACGCUCAAUGACAAUCCACAGGAGCCCUUCUGCAACCUUCCCAACCUAAAGAAGGCUACAGUGAUGAUUGGGGAUUCAGAACUGAGGAAAAACUUCCCUGGAGAUCCCACAUACACACACUCCCCCAGCUCGCUGUUUCCAGUGAUCUCAGUGUCUAGGCUUCAAACCACCUCACGUCACACUCCUCUCUGUGUUAUUCUCUCACUAGGAGGAAAAGAGAUGAUUGUGCACUAAGGAAAAGCGAGGAAUUGGAGAGGCCGUAUGACUCGGCAGAAAUCUCCUGCCCUCCAUAAAAAGGCAGUGUGUCAUUUUUGAGACCGCAAAACUGUUUUUUUUUUUCCCCUCCAAUUGUAUUCUCUGGCCACUAAAGACCUGCAGGAUAUUUACGCAUCAUGUGAGUGUAGCCCGGGUAUAUA